rnacentral:rRNA from 1 species
GCCGGUGGGACUCGGCGCAGCCGGGGUUCCGUAACUUACCCUCCGCGCUGCUCUUAGCCGAGUGGUUCGGUGGGCCGGCACGUUUACUUUGAACAAAUUUGAGUGCUCAAAGCAAGCCUUACGUUGCCUGGAAACUGUGUGCAUGGAAUAAUGAGAGAGGACCUUGGUUCUAUUUUGUUGGCUUUCUGAACUCGAGGUAAUGAUUAACAGGGACAGACGGGGGCAUUCGUAUUGCGACGUUAGAGGUGAAAUUCUUGGAUCGUCGCAAGACGGACCGAUGCGAAAGCGUUUGCCAAAGAAUGUUUUUCGCUAAUCAAGAAACGAAAGUUAGAGGGUCCGAAAGGCGAUUUAGAUACCCGCCCUAGUUUCUAACCCAUAAAACGAUGUCAGCCCAGCGAUGCGCCCGAUGUUCCUUCCGAUGACCCGGGCGCGCAACUUCCGGGAAACCAAAGCUUUUGGGUUCCGGGGGAAGUAUGGGUGCAAAGCUGAAACUAAAGGAAUUGACGGAAGGCACCAC